AUGACUGCUCUUCUCAUUAGGAUUUCAACAUUAGUCAUAUUAUCAUGUUUGAUCAUCUCCAUCCUUUGGAAAAAAAUGAAGAGGACAGAGAAUUUGCAAGAGGCUUCAGAAAUGGUGGCCUGUCAUGAGGACCCCCUGAUUCAUGAUGGUCUUGCGGAAGCAGACUAUCAAAACUGCAUCCCAGAAGGAGCCGAGAAUGGAACUGAGACAUGAGGAGAAGCAACUCCUGACCUCAGAAGUGGUUCUAGAGAUGUGUAGAAGGCCAACAUCGAUCUCUCUCUGCUGCAGAGCAAAGAAUGAACACAUGAAUUAGCAAACUUUAUUGUAACAGUCAAAAUUAUUUUCUUUUUUCAAUUAUUGUACAUCUCAUGGAAGAAGAGAUGUAGAAGACAAAGUUUAUAGUAAGGAAAAUCAUUGGUGCUGAUCCCUAAAAUGAGCAGACAUGGCACAAAAAAAAUCAAUUACUAAUGCAUUUAAUCUCACAGAGUCACAUUUAGACAUUCAUACAAGAAUUUCAUGCUUUCAAAGUCAGAGAUUCAAAUUUGCAUCUACUCAACUUAUAAAAGACUUGUCUAUGAUUCCAUUUUUAUUGCCUUCACUUAAAACAAAUUGAUCAGUAAUUGUUGAGCAUCCCUCAACAUCAACUUGCAGCUCCUCUGUGGUACAUUUGUAACUUUAGAAUAUUAUGCUCUACUUCUGCAAAAAAGUAAUCCGGAAGUUAUAAUAUAAAUAGUGAAAUAAUAAUAAUAAAAAAACAAGAGAAAAUGGCAAAGACUUAAGAAAACAGUGUUCCGAUGAAAGGGAAGCAAUGAUGUGAUGAUAUUUGGAUGAUAUGUUUGUUUCAGAAAUGAAUGUUGUACAUAAUUUUAUCUAAAUCUACAAAUAAGAACUGUGGUGUAUAUUUAUGCCCUUUAUUGUUUAUUAAGUUACAUUUGGAAAAUAAAAUAUUAACAUCCU
rnacentral:lncRNA from 1 species